rnacentral:tRNA from 1 species
GCGGAUGUAGUUCAGUAGUAGAACGUCCCCCUUCCAGGGGGAAAACGCAGUGUGCGAUCCCUGCCAUCCGCUCCA